AUACGUAGGGGGCAAGCGUUAUCCGGAUUUACUGGGCGUAAAGGGUGCGUAGGUGGUUUCUUAAGUCAGGAGUGAAAGCCCCCGGCUCAACCGGGGAGGGUCAUUGGAAACUGGGAAACUUGAGUGCAGAAGAGGAGAGUGGAAUUCCAUGUGUAGCGGUGAAAUGCGUAGAGAUUAGGAAGAACACCAGUGGCGAAGGCGCUUCUCUGGACUGUAACUGACGCUGAGGCUCGAAAGCGUGGGGAGC
rnacentral:rRNA from 1 species